UACGGAGGGGGCUAGCGUUGUUCGGAAUUACUGGGCGUAAAGCGCGCGUAGGCGGACCUGCAAGUCGGGGGUGAAAUCCCCGGGCUCAACCCGGGAACUGCGUCCGAUACUGGAAGGCUUGAAUCCGGGAGAGGGAUGCAGAAUUCCAGGUGUAGCGGUGAAAUGCGUAGAUAUCUGGAGGAAUACCGGUGGCGAAGGCGGCAUCCUGGACCGGCAUUGACGCUGAGGAGCGAAAGCCAGGGGAGCAAACGGG
rnacentral:rRNA from 1 species